AGAGUUUGAUCAUGGCUCAGAACGAACGCUGGCGGCGUGCCUAACACAUGCAAGUCGAACGCGAAAGUCCUUCGGGAUGAGUAAAGUGGCGCACGGGUGAGUAACACGUAGGUGACCUGCCUUUUAGAGGGGAAUAACCAGAAGAAAUUUUGGCUAAUGCCGCAUACGAAGCGCAAAUAUAAUAGUAACGCUUGAAAGGAUGCCUCUGUAUAUGCAUCCACUAAAAGAUGGGCCUGCGGAACAUUAGCUAGUUGGUGGGGUAAAGGCCUACCAAGGCAACGAUGUUUAUCCGGUCUGAGAGGAUGAUCGGACACACUGGAACUGAGACACGGUCCAGACUCCUACGGGAGGCAGCAGUGGGGAAUAUUGCGCAAUGGGGGAAACCCUGACGCAGCAACGCCGCGUGAGUGAGGAAGGACUUCGGUCUGUAAAGCUCUGUUAAUGUGGAAAAAUGGCAGUUGGUCUAAUAGGCCGAUUGUUUGAUGGUACACAUAGAGGAAGCACCGGCUAACUUCGUGCCAGCAGCCGCGGUAAUACGAAGGGUGCAAGCGUUGUUCGGAUUUAUUGGGCGUAAAGCGCGCGUAGGCGGACCUGUAAGUCAGAUGUGAAAUCUCAGGGCUCAACCUCGAAACUGCGUCUGAAACUGCAGGUCUAGAAUCUUGGAGGGGGAAGGGGAAUUUCGCAUGUAGGGGUAAAAUCCGUAGAUAUGCGAAGGAACACCAGAGGCGAAGGCGCCUUCCUGGACAAGUAUUGACGCUGAGGCGCGAAAGCGUGGGGAUCAAACAGGAUUAGAUACCCUGGUAGUCCACGCUGUAAACGAUGAAUACUAGAUAUUGCAGACUUUGACCUCUGCAGUGUCGUAGCUAACGCGUUAAGUAUUCCGCCUGGGAAGUACGGUCGCAAGACUAAAACUCAAAGGAAUUGACGGGGGCCCGCACAAGCGGUGGAUGAUGUGGUUUAAUUCGAUGCAACGCGAAAAACCUUACCUACCUUUGACAUGUACGGAAUUCGCCAGAGAUGGCUUAGUGCUCGAAAGAGAACCGUAACACAGGUGCUGCAUGGCUGUCGUCAGCUCGUGUCGUGAGAUGUUGGGUUAAGUCCCGCAACGAGCGCAACCCUUGUCAUUAGUUGCUACAUUUAGUUGGGCACUCUAAUGAGACUGCCGGUGACAAACCGGAGGAAGGUGGGGAUGACGUCAAGUCCUCAUGGCCCUUAUAGGUAGGGCUACACACGUCAUACAAUGGCUGGUACAGAGGGUUGCCAACCCGCGAGGGGGAGCUAAUCCCAUAAAACCAGUCGUAGUCCGGAUCGUAGUCUGCAACUCGACUACGUGAAGUCGGAAUCGCUAGUAAUCGCGGAUCAGAAUGUCGCGGUGAAUACGUUCCCGGGUCUUGUACACACCGCCCGUCACACCAUGGGAGCGGGUUCUGCCAGAAGUAGUUAGCCUAACCGCAAGGAGGGCGAUUACCACGGCAGGGUUCGUGACUGGGGUGAAGUCGUAACAAGGUA
rnacentral:rRNA from 1 species